GGGGCUAUACGCGGAGCCGUUUGUCCUAAAGAGGGCGCUGGGGUAAUAGUGGUUAUUGAAGAUAGCCUCGUUUUCGCGUCCGUGUAGAAAUGGCUUUAGAGUAUGGGAAGCAAACGGUGGCGAAGUUAAAACUUCAACUAGUUGAAAGAGGAGCCUCCACUAGAGGAAAGAAACAGGAUUUGGUAGAAAGGUCACAGAGAAGGAAGUGUCAGAACUUGAAAACAGAACUAGAGGCCAAAGUAAAAGUCGAGUAUGGCAUGAAGAAAGAUCAUGGAGAAUAACAGCAUCGAGGUUUGGUGAUAUUUUGAACGCAACCGAAAGACAAGACAAGGACAAAUUAUGCCAGUCACUGUUGUUUAACCAUGAAAUCAAGACUCCAUAUUUCUUAAAAUUUACAGACAUAUAGUCGGCAACAAUGUCACGUUCUGGCCAAGUGUUCAUUUCACUGAGCUGGAAAAACAAAGUUGAUCCAUGUGCUUAUUAUUUCUGACACCGUUGUUACCGAUAGCUUGAAACGGAGAGCUAAAUAAUCGUCAAAGGCUCGUCUCAGUUUCAUAAUGAUCAAAAAACAUUGGCCCUGGUGAC